rnacentral:rRNA from 1 species
UACGUAGGGUGCAAGCGUUGUCCGGAAUUAUUGGGCGUAAAGAGCUCGUAGGCGGUCUGUCGCGUCGGUCGUGAAAACUUGGGGCUUAACCCUGAGCUUGCGGUCGAUACGGGCAUGACUGGAGUUCGGCAGGGGAGACUGGAAUUCCUGGUGUAGCGGUGAAAUGCGCAGAUAUCAGGAGGAACACCGGUGGCGAAGGCGACAUCCUGGACCGGUAUUGACGCUGAGGCGCGAAAGCCAGGGGAGCAAACGGG